UACAGAGGUCCCAAGCGUUGUUCGGAUUCACUGGGCGUAAAGGGUGCGUAGGUGGUGGGGUAAGUCGGAUGUGAAAGCUCGGAGCUCAACUCCAAAAUGGCAUUGGAAACUACCCUGCUAGAGGAUUGGAGGGGGGACUGGAAUACUUGGUGUAGCAGUGAAAUGCGUAGAUAUCGGGAGGAACACCGGUGGCGAAGGCGGCGAUCUGGGUAGAUACUGACGCUGAGGUGCGAAAGCGUGGGGAGCAAACAGG
rnacentral:rRNA from 1 species